rnacentral:rRNA from 1 species
CCUACGGGAGGCAGCAGUGGGGAAUAUUGGGCAAUGGAGGAAACUCUGACCCAGCGACGCCGCGUGCGGGAUGAAGGCCUUCGGGUUGUAAACCGCUUUCAGCAGGGAAGAAGCGAAAGUGACGGUACCUGCAGAAGAAGCACCGGCUAACUAUGUGCCAGCAGCCGCGGUAAUACAUAGGGUGCAAGCGUUGUCCGGAAUUAUUGGGCGUAAAGAGCUCGUAGGUGGUUCGUCACGUCGGAUGUGAAAAUCUGGGGCUUAACCCCAGACCUGCAUUCGAUACGGGCGAGCUUGGGUAUGGUAGGGGAGUCUGGAAUUCCUGGUGUAGCGGUGGAAUGCGCAGAUAUCAGGAGGAACACCAAUGGCGAAGGCAGGACUCUGGGCCAUUACUGACACUGAGGAGCGAAAGCGUGGGGAGCGAACAGGAUUAGAUACCCUGGUAGUCCACGCCGUAAACGGUGGGCACUAGUUGUGGGGACCUUCCACGGUCUCUGCGACGCAGCUAACGCAUUAAGUGCCCCGCCCUGGGGGAGGUACGAGUCGCGAAGAAGUUAAAACUUAAAAUUAAGUAAGUUAGUUACGGUCGUUGAGACGUUGCCGACGGACGACACGAGGGGAGGUUAGG